UGAACUUGCAAAAGGAUCGUUG
rnacentral:rRNA from 1 species